AGCAGCCGCGGUAAUUCCAGCUCCAAUAGCGUAUAUUAAAGUUGUUGCAGUUAAAAAGCUCGUAGUUGAAUUUCGGGAUCAGUUCGCUGGUCGUGCCUUCGGUAUGUACUGGUGUUACUGGUUCCUACCUUCUGACGAACCGUCAUGUCAUUAAUUUGGUGUGGCGGGGAAUCAGGACUGUUACUUUAGAAAAAUUAGAGUGUUUAAAGCAGGCUCGCGCUUGAAUACAUUAGCAUGGAAUAAAUGAAAUAGGACGUUCGAUCCUAUUUUGUUGGUUUCUAGGAUUGACGUAAUGAUUAAUAGGGAUAGUUGGGGGCAUUAGUAUUCAAUUGUCAGAGGUGAAAUUCUUGGAUUUAUUGAAGACUAACUACUGCGAAAGCAUUUGCCAAGGAUGUUUUCAUUAAUCAAGAACGAAAGUUAGGGGAUCGAAGACGAUC
rnacentral:sRNA from 1 species